CAAGAGAUGAAGCAACAGAAAGGAUGCCAAGAACAUCACUGGAGGAAGAUUCAAAACAAGUCUCACUGAACAUGGGGGUUCAGGGCGGCACACAGAGCUCUCACCUUCUUGUUUUUUCUUGCAAGGAGGAAAGGAAAUUGAGGUUGAAUGUCGGCUGGCGGCCCCCAGGGGGAGAGUGGUCUCUGUGGGAGCGCUGACCCUCUGGAACGGUUUGCCCACCGGUCUUAGGACAGCCCCCGACCUCCUCUCCUUCCGCCGCAAACUGAAGAUGU